rnacentral:rRNA from 1 species
CCGCCCGUCACACCAUGAGAGUUUGUAACACCCAAAGCCGGUGAGGUAACCUUCGGGGACCAGCCGUCUAAGGUGGGACAGAUGAUUAGGGUGAAGUCGUAACAAGGUAGCCGUAGGAGAACCUGCGGCUGGAUCACCUCCUUUCUAAGGAA